rnacentral:ncRNA from 1 species
AAAUAAAAAAAAAAUUUUUUAUAGUUUAAAUAAUUUAUUUUAAAUUUAUUUUACAUAUAAAUUUUAGUGUUAAAUUUUCUUUAUUUUAAUAAUAAUUAAUUUAUAAUUAUAGUAAUUUAUAUUAAAUAAUUUAAGAAAUUAAGAUUUAGUAAUAUUUAAAUUAAUAACAAAUUUUGUGCCAGCAGAUGCGGUUAAACAAAAGUUAAAUUAAAUUUUUUUAGUAAUUAAUUAUUAUUUAUAAAUUUAUUUAAGUUAUUAUAAUUAAAAUUUUAAAUUAUUAAGUGAAAUUUUAAUUUAAUAGAAUAUUAUUUUAUUUUUAAGACUUAAUAAAUUUUAUAAAAAACUAGGAUUAGAUACCCUAUUAUUAAAAUUUUAAGUGAUAAUACUAAAAUAGUAAAUAAUUAUUUAUUGAAACUUAAAUAAUUUGGCGGUAUUUUAGUUCAUUUAGAGGAAUCUGUUUAAUAAUUGAUGAUCCACGAAUAAAUUUACUUAAUUUUUAAUUUUGUAUAUCGUUGUUAAAAAAAUAUUUUUUAAUAAAAAUAAUAUUUUAAAGUUUAAAUAUAAAAUUAAAUCAGAUCAAGAUGUAGAUUAUAAUUAAGAAUAUAAUGGAUUACAAUAAAUUUAUUUAAAUGGAUUUUUAUUUGAAAAAAUAAAUUGAAAGUGGAUUUAAAUGUAAUUUUAUUUAGUUUAAUAAAAUGAUUUAAAAUUAAAAUAUGUACAUAUUGCCCGUCGCUUUCAUAUGAAUUUUAUAUUUUAUAUAUAUAUAUUAUAAUAUAAGUAAUUAAUAUAAUUAUAAAUUGGAAUAAGUCGUAACAAAGUAGAGGUACUGGAAAGUGUUUCUAGAAAGAA